CCUACGGGAGGCAGCAGUGGGGAAUAUUGCACAAUGGGGGAAACCCUGAUGCAGCGACGCCGCGUGAGUGAAGAAGUAAUUCGUUAUGUAAAGCUCUAUCAGCAGGGAAGAAAAUGACGGUACCUGAGUAAGAAGCCCCGGCUAACUCCGUGCCAGCAGCCGCGGUAAUACGGAGGAUGCGAGCGUUAUCCGGAUUUAUUGGGUUUAAAGGGUGCGUAGACGGCAGUGCAAGUCUGGAGUGAAAGGCGGGGGCUCAACCCCCGGACUGCUCUGGAAACUGUACGGCUGGAGUGCAGGAGAGGUAAGUGGAAUUCCUAGUGUAGCGGUGAAAUGCGUAGAUAUUAGGAGGAACACCAGUGGCGAAGGCGGCUUACUGGACUGUAACUGACGUUGAGGCUCGAAAGCGUGGGGAGCAAACAGGAUUAGAUACCCUAGUAGUC
rnacentral:rRNA from 1 species